rnacentral:rRNA from 1 species
UACAGAGGUCUCAAGCGUUGUUCGGAUUCAUUGGGCGUAAAGGGUGCGUAGGCGGCGCGGUAAGUCGGGUGUGAAAUUUCGAGGCUUAACUUCGAAACUGCAUUCGAUAACUGCCGUGCUUGAGGACUGGAGAGGAGACUGGAAUUUGACGGUGAGCGGUGAAAUGCGUAGAUAUCGAUAAGGAAGACCAGUGGCGAAGGCGGGUCUCUGGACAGUUCCUGACGCUGAGGCACGAAGGCCAGGGAGCAAACGGG